GAUGAACGCUGGCGGCGUGCCUAAUACAUGCAAGUCGAGCGAACAGACGAGGAGCUUGCUCCUCUGACGUUAGCGGCGGACGGGUGAGUAACACGUGGAUAACCUACCUAUAAGACUGGGAUAACUUCGGGAACCGGAGCUAAUACCGGAUAACAUGUUGAACCGCAUGGUUCAACAGUGAAAGACGGUCUUGCUGUCACUUAUAGAUGGAUCCGCGCCGCAUUAGCUAGUUGGUAAGGUAACGGCUUACCAAGGCAACGAUGCGUAGCCGACCUGAGAGGGUGAUCGGCCACACUGGAACUGAGACACGGUCCAGACUCCUACGGGAGGCAGCAGUAGGGAAUCUUCCGCAAUGGGCGAAAGCCUGACGGAGCAACGCCGCGUGAGUGAAGAAGGUCUUCGGAUCGUAAAACUCUGUUAUUAGGGAAGAACAAAUGUGUAAGUAACUAUGCACGUCUUGACGGUACCUAAGCAGAAAGCCACGGCUAACUACGU
rnacentral:rRNA from 1 species